CGGAGUGUAGCCUAGCGGUUUCAGGCACUUGCCUUGGGAGCAAGAUGACAGAGGUUCGAAUCCUCUCACUCCGACCA
rnacentral:tRNA from 1 species